UGGGGAAUAUUGCACAAUGGGCGAAAGCCUGAUGCAGCAACGCCGCGUGAGUGAUGAAGGCCUUCGGGUUGUAAAGCUCUGUCUUUUGGGACGAUAAUGACGGUACCAAAGGAGGAAGCCACGGCUAACUACGUGCCAGCAGCCGCGGUAAUACGUAGGUGGCAAGCGUUGUCCGGAUUUACUGGGCGUAAAGGAUGCGUAGGUGGAUUUUUAAGUGAGAUGUGAAAACCCUAAGCUUAACUUGGGGACUGCAUUUCAUACUGGAAAUCUAGAGUGCGGGAGAGGAGAAUGGAAUUCCUAGUGUAGCGGUGAAAUGCGUAGAGAUUAGGAAGAACACCAGUGGCGAAGGCGAUUCUCUGGACCGUAACUGACGCUGAGGCAUGAAAGCGUGGGUAGCAAACAGGAUUAGAUACCCUGGUAGUCCACGCCGUAAACGAUGAGUACUAGGUGUAGGAGGUAUCGACCCCUUCUGUGCCGCAGUUAACACAAUAAGUACUCCGCCUGGGAAGUACGAUCGCAAGAUUAAAACUCAAAUGAAUUGACGGGGUCAUAGCUGUUUCCU
rnacentral:rRNA from 1 species